UUGUCCCUUGCAGCUGCUUGAAAGAAGUCCUUUUCUUCCGGAUCGCUUCUUUCCGACCAGCUGGACUUUUAUGUACCUCCAACGAAGAUGGAUCUCUUUCCGUGACGUAUCCUUCUUCUCUUACCCCAGCGACGGUGACCACCACAGAGUGGCUAGGCCUGGAGCGAUUGUUCA